GCCAGGGAGUAGGAUCCCGAAUGCGCAGGCCAAGUCUCUGCGAGCUGAGACUAGUUGGGAGGAGACACAAAGCUUCUAAAAGUGAACUGAAAGCCACACCUAGUUUAGAAUUUUGAAAGUUACAAUUGCUCUCUGCUCCCAGACCCUGUGAGAGAGAGACCCAACCGCCUGGUCAGGUGAGCACUCCUGAGGCUGCAGAGCGGAAGAGACCACCAACACUGCUCACCCCUGCCCACAUCCCUGGCCCAAGAGGACACUGUAGAAGGCCUCUGGGCUCCCGUGGGGGAGGGCCCAGGAGCGGCAGGACCCCUGCCAGAGACACCGCAGGACCCUGAAGGAAACAGACCGGAUAAACAGUUCUCUGCACCCAAAUCCCGUGGGAGGGAGAGCUAAACCUUCAGAGAGGCAGACAAGCCUGGGAAACCAGAAGAGACUGCUCUCUGCACACACAUCUUGGACGCCAGAGGAAAAAGCCAAAGACCAUCUGGAACCCUGGUGCACUGAAGCUCCCGGAAAGGGCGGCACAGGUCUUCCUGGUUGCUGCCGCUGCAGAGAGCCCCUGGGCAGCACCCCACGAGCGAACUUGAGCCUCGGGACCACAGAGCCUAUCGGACCCAGAAACUCAACCAGCACAUUUCCAAGGCAUCCUUUGGAAAAUGAGGGAGGCAGAUAUGAAAAACUAAUGCUAUGAUGAUUGGAGACUUCUCACUGUGAACUGUUGAACUCAGAAGACCUUAGACCCCAACCACAAAGUGCUGAGGGAAAAAGGAAAACAACUGCCAGGGAAGAAUCAGCAAAGCCCUCCUGCAAAGACAAAGGUAACCUGGAGACGACUGCAAGUACGUGUGAAUUAAGAUCAUUUCUCUGAAGAUCCACCCUGUAAGAAACGUUAACAUGCGUUCUAUCAGUUUGAGGUGAUGUUACACUGGACCCAACCUGAACUGACAGCAAGGAUAGGAAGCAAACUUCCUGGUUCUCAUCAUGCUUGUUGGUCCUGUCUCCAGGACUUUGGAGCUGAAGAGGUUCAACACUACCCACCCCGGGUGACUCAACGACUCCCUCCAAUGUCCUGCUUCUGGGGAGAGUGAGGUGCACAGUGAUACCCAUCACUGUUUCCUAGACAGGGCUGUGCUGCACAUGGACCCUGUAUUGUGGACGUGAUUUUUAAAGGUUGGAUGAGAACAGAUGUUAAAUGCAGGGAUAGAAGUGCAGUCGGUCUGGCAUUUUAUUGUGCAAGAAUGAAUAUUUUGAGUUUUUUCUAGUAUAUUAUAAAGUUAAAAAUGUUAAAAAGUUCUUCAGAGAAAUUACAUUGGUAUCAGUUUCAGAAUGUCCUUUUUUUUUUCUCUGUGGAUUUGAAUAAAGAAAAGGAGUACGCUGACCCACACUAAUAACAGACCUUCAGCAUCACGAACUAACUUUAGGACUAGUUAAGUAUCUCGAUUCUGUUUUCAAUAUUCUCUUUGCUGCAUGCACACCAUGACCUUCUGACAUUUAAAAAAAUGUGUGUAGGAUCCCCGGAACGGAAGUUACAGACAAUUGUGAGCUGCUUCACGGAUGCUGGGAAUUGAACCCAGGUUCUCUAGAAGAGCAGCUGGUCUUAAAGAUUGAGCAAUCAUCUUCAAUCCCCUCUUGACAUUUUUAUUUCUUUCUGAAAGACAUUUACAAAUAAAUCUUGGGGUUGGAGGUGAAGCUCAGUGAUAACAUGCUUACAAAGCAUGCACAAGGCUCUCUGUGCAACUUGCAUUGCAGAUGUGAGGCAAAUACACUCAACACCCCAUUUUUAUCUCAAAAUCCAUUGUAUGUACUCGGAAGAGAGGUGACUUCCUUAGAGAGUGUUUGCAUGGUUAUCGAUGUCAGCAACAUCAAUACAGCUAUUUUGUAUUGUCCUAUACUCAGUCCACUUUUAUGUCCCAUAUUGUUUUACCCAGCUGCCCUUUCCUGCAACAAGAUUCAGCUUACAUCACUACUCUACAAUACACUCUAAAGCCCCCUUUUAUCCGUGGCCUUACUCUUACUUGACAUCACUCUCCCUAGUUUCCUUUUUACCUUUACUAUCUGCAUUGCAACUUUUGAAUCUGAACUAAUGAAAUCAGACAGAUCCUGUUUUCUAUUCAUUUAUUCAUUCCCUCAGUUUUAGAGGGCUCUUAAACCACGUUUGUAUACUGGGCAUGCAUGUGAAGCUAAAAUAUAGUAAUAGUGCCUUCUAUGUACUGUAUCCAAGAUUAUUUUGGAGGAAACCCAUUCUUUUUCUGAUAAAAAUGACAGUUGUAUGAUUGCCAUUAAAAUGCAUCUGUGGUGGGUGGAUGUAACACCCCCUCCCCCCCCCACACACACUAUGAAGUAACAAGGAGACUUAGGAAGGAAAGGAUUUUGUAAGAUAAGGAAGAGGAUAAAAAUAAAUAGGGGGGCUGGAAAGAUGGCUCAGAGCAUUGACUGUUCUUCUAGAUGAUCUGGCUUCAAUUCCCAGCACCCACAUGGCAGCUCACAAUUAUCUGUAACUCCAGAUCCAGGAGGUCUAACACCAAAAUCCUCAUUCAGACAUACAUGCGCGGAAAACACUAAUGCACUUAAAAUAAAAAUAAAAAAUCAUUAAAAUAAUUGGGGGUCUUGAUGAAAGAAUAUUAUAUAUAUAUGCAUAUACACAUACAUAUAUAUACAUACAUAUACAUAUACAUAUACAUAUAUACAUACAUAUAUACAUAAAAUUAGAAAAGAAAACCUAAAUUUUAAAAAUAAAAAUUUGCAAUUUCUGGGAUAUUGUGAAACACUUUAAUAUAUCUGUAAAUAGAAUUUUAGAGUAAGAAAGGAGUCAGAAGAAACAUGUUGAAAAAAAAUAAUGGUCCAGUACUCUAUAGUUUAAUGCAGAAUUGCAAAUUACAGUUUCAGAAAGUCACUAAAUUCUUAGAAGGCUAAACAGUGAAUAUUACUUCUGGAUAUAUCCUAGUCAAAACACUCAUAGAUAAAAACAAGCAUCUGACUGCAGGAGAAUGCAGGAGGCAGAUAUGAAAAACUAAUGCUAUGAUGAUUGGAGACUUCUCACUGUGAACUGUAGAACUAUAAAUAUUUCCUUCCUUCUCCCUCCCUUCCUUCUUUCCUUUCUUCUUCCUUCCUUCCUUCCUUCCUUCCUUUCUUUCUUUCUUUCUUUCUUUCUUUCUUUCUUUCUUUCUUUCUUUCUUUCUCUCUCUUUCUCUCUCUCUCUUUCUUUCUUUCUUUCUUUCUUUCUUUCUUUCUUUCUUUCUUUCUUUCUUUCUUCCUUCCUUUCCUUAAGUCAGUCAAAUUAGAAUUUCUUGCCCUUCAAACAAAAUUGUUUUUUAUUUAUUUAUCUCCAAAUAUUAGACGUUGAAUAUAAAUUAAUGCAAAUGAGAUAUUAGGAUAACAAUAGCAGAAAAUAGUGCCCCACACCAUUUUUUGCACUAAGUCCAGCUGUGCUGUGUUCUAACCAUGGUGUUGGGGUCACUGACUCU